rnacentral:rRNA from 1 species
AUUGAACGCUGGCGGCAGGCCUAACACAUGCAAGUCGAGCGGUAGAGAGGAGCUUGCUUCUCUUGAGAGCGGCGGACGGGUGAGUAAUACCUAGGAAUCUGCCUGAUAGUGGGGGAUAACGUUCGGAAACGGACGCUAAUACCGCAUACGUCCUACGGGAGAAAGCAGGGGACCUUCGGGCCUUGCGCUAUCAGAUGAGCCUAGGUCGGAUUAGCUAGUUGGUGAGGUAAUGGCUCACCAAGGCUACGAUCCGUAACUGGUCUGAGAGGAUGAUCAGUCACACUGGAACUGAGACACGGUCCAGACUCCUACGGGAGGCAGCAGUGGGGAAUAUUGGACAAUGGGCGAAAGCCUGAUCCAGCCAUGCCGCGUGUGUGAAGAAGGUCUUCGGAUUGUAAAGCACUUUAAGUUGGGAGGAAGGGCAGUUAUCUAAUACGUGAUUGAAUUGACGUUACCGACAGAAUAAGCACCG